AUGGGGUCAGCAUUCGUUGCAUCUGGGAUCGUAUUGUUUGUGGGUUUCUCCUAUGCCGUCGUUGUGUCCAAGCUGCUUCCACCAUAUGAGAACCAACUUAUGUCUGCUAUCCAAAAUGAUAGGUACUACUGCCUACUUGUGCCCUUGACACAUCCUAUGAUAAUUGUGGCUGUCUAUCUGCAUUGGCUAAGUAUAGAAAUGUUCAAGCAUGCCUGA
rnacentral:rRNA from 1 species